CCCGAUGGAGCAUCAGAGUGGGAAACGGGGAGACAGCAAGGUGUGCAGCAGCGCAGACAUCGGAAAGGAUGAAGGGAGCAAAGGCUGUGGCACCGAAAGCCCGGGGUUUGUGGGUCCCCGGAGGGUUCCAGGAAGGUGACAGCCCGAGAACCACUUCCUGCCCGGCCGACUGUGGCAGGGAGCCAGGGAGGCCAGCGGAGCCGCAGUAGGGGUGUGGCCCCUCCUCCCUAGCUGCAGGCACCUGCGGAGAGGGGUGUGUCACGGGGUGGGGGCGAGCUGGGCCCAUUCCCAGCUCUGAGCGCAGGAGCUGGUGGGGUUUCUUCGGAGCGAUUGUUUAGUAUUCAUGGGACGACGCAAUCUCUCCCACAUCUGCUUAGCACAGCAAGUCCUGUCAUAUAACUGUCUCCCGCACUGUCUGUCCAUAAAGAAUGUCUCGGAAUUGGUGUAAUUCAGAGAAAUUAAUGACGACUUUCCGCGGGACGGCUCCCUGGGGGAUGAUUAACACUUCAUCGUCCAUCUGAUGCGCGGGGCCCAGCGCUCCAUCGCGAACAUUUGGGCCGUGGCCAGCCGCAUUAGAGGUUUUAGCAACUAGCUUCUGACUGUCCUGCAGUUCCUGAGACACACUACUCUGCCUCAGGAUGGGAGAUCCCUGGAGUCUUUGUGUGCAACCUUCUGAUGCUGGGAGGAUCGUGCUUCAGGGAAAAGUUCACUCGUCAGCUCCACACAAGGACCAAAGCAACCUCUCUGUGCCUUGGAGCCUGACAAGGCCAUGUCUAUGUUCUCACUGAAUUGGAUGCAAACAAUUUGUCAGGCCAUUAGUGGGGCAAGUUCUUCUGUGAGUCUAACCUCAAGUCCUCUUCUAUACUGUAUCCAAACAGUCACAGGCUAGAUUUGUGAAAUGAGAACCUCGCCCUCCCCCUUUCCUGCAGCAUGGGAGUAGUUGUUUCUGGCUUGCUGAAUAGGUCUGGAGAACAGGGACACCAAGAACAUAGGACUAAACCUGCGGGUGGGUCAUAGAUGGAUUCUUUGGGAGGAGGACAAUCAUCAGUCGCACAGUCUCAGAGAAGGUGUUCAAGACUUAAGUUCCUGCCCUCCUUACAGACAGGAGCCAGAGUGUCUUGCUAUCGGGUGGCUGUGUCUGAAAAGUUCAGGCUCCUGGUUCCUGUUCUAGGAAUCUUUCUUGUGUUCCAUCCGGAGGACCUUAGAAUCUGUUGCUGGUCUCUCGGCUUUAUGGAGGCAGGGAGGUGGAAUGGGGGAGUGUUCCGGCCGGGAUGGAGUUCUGCCCCCUUUUUCCUGCAGAAACCUGCAGUGACCUCCUCCUGGCCUUCCUGGCCUUCCUGGCGGCCUGGAGGUCUCUUGCCCACCGCUGCGCUUCCUUCUCCCUCUGCAGGACCCUCAGGCUGCUCUCUUAUCUCCACCUCACCUAAUUAGGGCCCUUCCUCCUUGCCUUGUGUAGUCAGUCUCUCCUUGCCUGAGCCAUCCUUGCCCCUCCCCCUCAGCCCUGUGUAGUCCUGUCCCACGCUCUCUUCUUCUGGGAAGCUCAUCUAUUUAAUCUUCCUGUGCCAGGGUCCCAAAGGGUCCCUUUCUAAACCACUGCUGAGGUGCCUGGGCUACUUCUUGUUUUUUCCUUUCCUAGUUGACUGCCCCCCUCCCUACACCCCCCUGAGGACAGCUGUGACUUCCUUCUCUCCCAGGACCCCUCUGCAUGCAUCAGCAGGGUCAGAACUGCAGUGGAGAGUGACCAAGACUUCCCUUUUUCUUCUUUUCUGGGAAUGGCAGCAGUAAUGGCUCUCAUCUCGUUGUGGGAGGCAGUGGUGCAGACCCCUUCCGAGACCUCCUCCUGAUGUUUGCUCCUGUUUCAGCCUAAGCCCUAGCUCUGGCUGCCUUUGGCCUUGUUACCAGCCUCUGCUAGGCACUGCUUUCCUGGGCCCCCGGGUGGGGGCCUGGCUGUGGUGUAUCACUGGCCCCCACAAUUUUUCCACUCGGGUUUCUCAGCGUCUGUCUUUUGCUUCCAGACCUCCCUCCACUUGUUCUUUCUCUCACCCAAUCUGCACCCAGCCCAUGUGUCCCCAGGGCCACAGUCCUUCCAGAAUCUUCUUUGCAGAGGUUGGCUUCUGCCUGGGACAGAACGGGUAGAGUGGAGAUCCGGGUGGAGACAGUGUCUGGGCUCCUAUGAGGCAGCAGGCCAAGUUUGGGACUAGUCAGUGUACUGGCCGCCACCUUGUGGCGGAUACUGAGAACUGCAGGAUUUGGAUCCGUAUGCUAAGAGCAGAUUCAUGGAAAGGGAGAAGGGGAUGCAGGAAGGGAUGUUCAUUAUGAGGGCGAUGGGCUUCAGCUUUCCAACUGACAUUGGAGGCUUCCUCUGUGAGCUUUGAAUUCCCAACUGGUAGGAGAGUACAAGCCUGGGAGAAGAGCCAAGUAGCAAGGACACUUCUAGAUGGAGAGAGAAAAUUGAGAUUGACUUUAGGUCUCAAAUGGACUGUUAUUAUCAUCCAUUGCUAAAAGAAGCCCAGAAAGGGAGACAAGGUAAAACUGAAGCAGGAGGAGUUGAAGUCUGACCUGCAGAAGGACUUCCAAAGUCAGCUCCAAAAUGCAUUUGAAGUUACUGCAUCUCAUAGCUGCACAGCUUUUUCAAAACUGAUCCCCAACCCCUCAGAGACCCUUUCUUCUCCAUGCUUACUGGGUCUAUUCAGAAAACCCCAGGUUCCUCAGCCUCCCUACCCCAGUUUACCUGCGUCUCUGUCGAACAUCCGUCCAUUCUGCAGCACCGGCAAUGGAGGGACCACCACGUAGCUAGUGGAGCUGCAGAUGGAAAGUCAGCAUCCCAAGAAAGUAGGGGAGAGUUCUGAGGGGGUGCAGCUCACUUUGGUUUCUUUUUUCCUACCUCCUUGGAUUCUUGGAGGUAAAGAGUUUGGGACCGAGUGAUCCACUUCACAUAGAAUUCUGAUUGGGUUUCGGGAUUCACCUAAAAGGGAACCUCUGAGUUUCAACUGCGAGCCCUGCUAUUCCCUUCUGUAGAGUGGGUAUUGUGGAGAGGGAGGGUGGGGUUGUUGUCCCUAUCAUCCUGGGUCCUUCUGAUGUCCCUUAAGGUCUCUUUGCUCCACCUGAACCCUGUGCUCCCUCCGGCUCUCACAAGAUCCUUGAGGUUCCUGUGUCUCCCCCACUCCCACAGCCCGACAUGUUCCCCGGGGAGCUAAGUCACUGAGACCUCCCCCUCCUGCUGCCUUCCUUUCUCAGCUUCCCCUGGCGCUUUGGGAAGAUGCUGGCCUGAUGCCCUGGCUCUGCAGGCCCAGCACCCUCCCUCUGAGGUGCCAUUCCUCCCCUGCCUCAUUUGCUGCCGCUGACCUUACUGAGUUAAAUUAAAAAGCAAUGUUCUGUGUGCGGCUCCAGCUCUGUGGAGCUUGACUCUGGGAAGACGAAGACAAUUACCGGCCUCUCCAUCUCCCUCUCGUCUGGCUGCCUUAUAAUUUUUCCCCCUGCUGCCUGGUAUGCAACAUUUAUGUUUUUAAUAACACCAGAAUGGUUUUGA